AAUGCCUUUGGUCCUAGAGUUGCAUCCUCAAUUAGCCAAUCCUUCACGUGCUCACAUAUCCACCGCUUGGUUGCAUUCUUUAUCUUCUUUUUCCUUUUUGUACUUGAGCAAUCAUGACCACAAGAGUUCUUUCUCACCUACAAAAGACAAACAUAGACAAUUAGUAAAGAUCUUUUAACAAUUUAAGCACACAUGAGUAAAGUUAGAAAUUACCAUUACGGUGCACCCAUCUUCCAUUGUAGAAGCAUAUAUCCUCCAUGGACACUUAUCUUCAUCCCUUCUUGAACAAUAAGCCCUGAACCUAUGUGGUGCACUUUUCUCGGUGUUAAACUCGAAUUCAUGUUUGAUUGCAUGUUGAGAAAGCGCCAACUUAAACUCUGCCAUAUUGGGAUAUUUUCUUCCUUCGGUCAUUGGGGGAUCUAAUUUAUCAUAUUCUAAAUGUGGUGCAUGCUCUGCCUCGUGCACUUCCUCAUCUUCCUCUACUUCCUCAUCGCUCUCAUCCUCGCUCUCAUCCUCGCUCUCAUGAUCAGGAACAUAGUCUUCGUCCCUUUCUUUAUCGGAACAGGGAACCAUGAUAAGAGGAUCUAAUUUAUCAUAAUCAUCAUCGUCUAAAUAAAUAUUUUCCUCAUCAACACCAACAUGUUCAUUCUCAGGUAUUGGGUUGCGAAGAUAAUCAUCGUCGUCUUGUUCUGUGUUGCUAGGUUGGAUAUGCACAUCAAUAUGCCACUCCGUGAUAGGCUCAUAUGGUUCAGAUGGAUCACAAUAUGCAACAAACAAGUGCACAACCUUUGUCUUAGAGAGUUUCUCAAACAUAGACACCAAUUCCUGGUCAGAUGUUACUUCUGGGUAGAUUUUAAGAAAAGGAUCAUAGUACUGAACAUGUGCAACUUCCAAAUAGCGAGGCGAGUACUGCUCUACGAUUGAUUCAACCAAGUCCUUAUAAUUCAUUAAGUCGGAAUCAAUAACCUUAUCAUAACAAAAGCAUUUGAUAUCCUUCCUAGCUUUUUUUGGGUUGCCAAGCAAUUUGAUUUUCAGCAAAUAUGUUGAAUUUGGAUCCAUCCUGUAAAAGUAAAAGAUCAAUUGUGCAUGAACAUACUUGCUUCGUGUUUUAAAUAAAAAAUGUGACAUGUGUAAACAGAUUAUCCAAUAUAACAUAUUUGCUUUAUAUGAACAUAAUCUUUGUCUAUUGUUUCAUUGUAGAUUUGGCAGCAACAAAUAUCCAUCUCUAACUACUCUGUUGCAUCUUCGAUCCAUCUCAAGGACGUAUCAUGGCAGCAAAUACUCAAAUAUAGAGAAAACAUGCACUUACCCUUGUAGCCAUGCCAGAGCACUUGCAUCCGAGG
rnacentral:lncRNA from 1 species